GCCGCUGUCCCGAAAGUCUCAGUCCCAACCGAGGAGGCAGAGAAAGAGCGCCGCCGCGGCGCCAGCGAGCCACAGCGCCCCGCGUGUCCUGGAGGAGCCAAGCCAAGAAUUAGCUGCUACUUACUGAAAUGUGUUCUCGAUGUCCAGCUCCUAAAGACCAGCAAGAGGACUCCAGGGAGCCGUAGCCAGACUAGUUUUCUCACAGACCAGACCCAGGCAUGAGGAAUCUGAACCAAUGUCUUUUGAAAUGUCACAUCUCUCCUGAAUGAGUCACUUCUGAUCAUCUCUUCCCAGUGAGCACAGGGGCCAUUUCUUCAAAAUCCCAGGUUAACUCUCCAUUGUUGGGCGUGCCGGCAUGGAUACCUAUGGACCCAGCUAUUGGGGCAACGGACCAGAUCGCCAAGUGUACAAGAUUGAGACCAACCUGGGCAGCAUGGCUUCCUCUCUUCUCCCCACCACAGUGCUUCCUUUGUCACCGUGAAUUCAGGCUCAUUUGGCAACCUCCCUCAUCAGCACCAGACUCUUUUCUUUACCUGCCAGGCCUUACUUGCUGAGAUGGCUCUGUUCAGUGCAAUCCCUCUCAGUCAUGCAGAUCCCUCUGCUCACUGCCAAGACUGAAGGCAAGGCCAGCCUUUCCUGACUGACUAGCUACUGAGCCUCCCCGUCAGAGGCCAAUGCCACCAUCAGAGGCUCUUUGUUACCUUCUUGCUGAUGCGCAACCACAGCUGUUUGCACAUGAUUUUGCUAAUAGACUUAACAGAAACGACUCCAACGCUAGGAUUCAGGAAUAAUCUAUCACAGGUUUUGGAGAUACUUUCUUGCUUUGCUUGUCUGGUUGCUACAUGAUGAUUUAGGAGAUGAAAAAGGCACCUGCUGCUGCUUCCAUCCUGCAUCUGAGCAUUUUCUAAACUUUAAAGUGAUGGAUUAUUUUCUUUUUAGAUUUGUAACACUCAGGAUAAGACUAUGUUACAGUAAUGAUUAAAAUUGAAAUUUCAGUGACCAGUCUUUCCUGUUUACUCCUGUGACAGUCUAAUACCAUCAAUCAACUUUCUGGAUGGCCUUCCUCCAGCCCAAAUGCCUGUGCCCAGGCUGCUUCCAUUCAGCAAAGUUCCUGUUUACAACCAAACGAAGACAAAACUGUGCUCAACCAUGGCACUUCAUUGCUGGCUAUGGAAUUUACUGAAAGACCCCUACAUAGGACCCCCUAGGAAAAGAAAAGCAAGGCCAGGCCGUUGCCUAAUGAAAGAAACCCAGACCAGGUGUUUCACCCUCAAAACAGGAUGUCUGUGAUCACUAUAGCAGUCAUGGGACCCGGAUAAU